rnacentral:misc_RNA from 1 species
UUAUAGCAUUCGCUAAUUUAUCAGACAGAAAUUUUCUUAACUGAGUUUGGGGGUGCCGUCGGCGGGCUAACACCCCGGGAUUGCGCCCGGUGAUGCCGCCGAAGCAACAGAGUUUUUCACAAAGGGUGUACUGUCGGGGGCCGAAACCACCCUCCAGCAGGCCUUGCGGCCAGUUUUGGUAAUGAUCCUUCCGCAGGUUCACCUACGGAAA